CUCUGGGUACAUACUACUAUCAGAUACUAUUGGAGGCAUACUACUAGCAGACAGAGUCUAGAGUCUGCUGUAGUACCGAACCGCGACGGACGGCUUUGAUGGGACAGGCGCUGAGCUUCCUACCUACAGCUUUAUCUAAUCGUCCGACAGUCGCGUUCUUCAUCCUCGCUCGAUCGCACAAAAAUCGCACACCAAUCUCAUUACCCACACUCUUGCUGCUCAUUACCUGAGCACUCUCCUCCCACCACGGCUCACCGAUCAUUCCGAUAAACCGAUCGACCCCCGGUCUCUAUCAGUGAUUGUUCUUUAGGGAGCUUCUUUCAUCUGGUUGCUCGUUGUUGUAGUUGGUGUAGUUGUUGUUGUUGUUGCGGCCGUCGCUGUGACGUCGAUCCUUUAUCCUGAAUGGCAGCAGCUCCGACGACGGCUUCGACGACGCACGGUGGGGUUCUUUGGGCUCUCCCGGUGAUACGCGUGCGCAGUUAGUCGACAUUGACCGGUGCGUUCGGAUGUUGUUUUCCCGCGAGGAUCUUUCGGAAGUUCUGAUUAGAACUUUUCUUUUCUGUGUUUGCAUCAAGCGUACAGGUGCUGCAGUGGCGAGUGGUGGUUGUGCAUUGUGUGGUGUGCUAAGAAGCAAACAAGGUUGGAUCCAGCUUUCGCAAAUAUUGAAUCGAGCCGGUUUCCCAAUCGAACGCGCGGCGGAGAAACUCCGUUGGAUGUUUGAAGAAGCCUUCUGAAGUGAAGAAGGGCUCAAGUGUGAGCAGUUGUAUUCACUAUCUCUCUCCCGGAAAGAGGCUGGAAUCGCUGGAAGUGAAGUACUCUGCGUACUUGAGUGUAAUGAAGGGGAUGUAAAUAUUUGCAGAGUGCACAAAAGUUCUUGAUCGAUUAAGUGCUGGUUGUUCUUACGGUUGGCUAGGGAAA